rnacentral:lncRNA from 1 species
UUAAACAACUCAGGGAAGUCUGUGGAUCAUAGACCCCAGUUCUUUUGCAUGACUUGAGCUUCUGCAAUAUUUCAUGGAAGGGCGAGAUUUUGGAAUGAAAGCAGCUUGGAUUCCUUGGGAGGCAGGCUUGCCUUCUUGGCAGAUUCGAUGGGGCCAGAUGGGAUCCAUGCAGGGGUAAUGCAGGAGCUGUUGGAAAUGCUCACCAAGCAGCUUUCUAUCAUUUAUCAGCAGUCCUGGCUAUCAGGGGAAGUCCCAGUUGACUGACAGCUAGCAAAUGUGAUUUCCAUCUCCAGAAAUGCUGGAAGGAGGACCCAGGGAACUACAAGAUUAUCAGUCUGACUUUGGUGCCAGAGAAUGUUAUGGAGCAGAUCGUCCUGAGUGCCAUCACUUGGCACAUACAGAACAACCACGUAAUCCAGCCCGGUCAGCUUGGGUUUAUGAAUGGCCGGACCUACUCAACUAAUCUGAUCGCCUUUCAAUGACAAGGUGACAUGCUUACUGGAUGAGGAUUCUGCAUUUGUUCAUGGAUGAAGUCCGAAACCAUUGGAAAGUGACAAUUGUGAUAGGGCUGACAGGAACAGGAGACCUUCACCUUCUUCUGAUAAUGGGAAUAAAUGUCACUGUCUUCUUGAAAGAAUAUACACCAGCUUCAACAGCAACAUAUGUAUAUAUAUAUUUAUAAAAUUAAGGAAAAAUAAUGUUGCCAGAUAAAAUUCUGGCAGAUGGAAACAUGUACUAGUUUGUUAAGUUGUUGAGGAUGUGUAUUCUAUAAAAUAAGACACAAAGAGAAGUACAAAUAUAGUAGAACUAGAAAGUUCAUGACACAUUUUGUCCUGGUUU